CACUGCCGAGAAAAGCCUCUAGAUAGAAAAUAGGUGCCCGUACCGCAAACCGACACAGGUAGUCAAGAUGAGAAUUCUAAGGUGAGCGAGCGAACUCUCGUUAAGGAACUCGGCAAAAUGACCCCGUAACUUCGGGAGAAGGGGUGCUCUUUAGGGUUAACGCCCAGAAGAGCCGCAGUGAAUAGGCCCAAGCGACUGUUUAUCAAAAACACAGGUCUCUGCUAAACCGUAAGGUGAUGUAUAGGGGCUGACGCCUGCCCGGUGCUGGAAGGUUAAGAGGAGUGGUUAGCUUCUGCGAAGCUACGAAUCGAAGCCCCAGUAAACGGCGGCCGUAACUAUAACGGUCCUAAGGUAGCGAAAUUCCUUGUCGGGUAAGUUCCGACCCGCACGAAAGGCGUAACGAUUUGGGCACUGUCUCAACGAGAGACUCGGUGAAAUCAUAGUACCUGUGAAGAUGCAGGUUACCCGCGACAGGACGGAAAGACCCCGUGGAGCUUUACUGUAGCCUGAUAUUGAAAUUCGGCACAGCUUGUACAGGAUAGGUAGGAGCCUUUGAAACGUGAGCGCUAGCUUACGUGGAGGCGCUGGUGGGAUACUACCCUAGCUGUGUUGGCUUUCUAACCCGCACCACUUAUCGUGGUGGGAGACAGUGUCAGGCGGGCAGUUUGACUGGGGCGGUCGCCUCCUAAAAGGUAACGGAGGCGCUCAAAGGUUCCCUCAGAAUGGUUGGAAAUCAUUCAUAGAGUGUAAAGGCAUAAGGGAGCUUGACUGCGAGACCUACAAGUCGAGCAGGGUCGAAAGACGGACUUAGUGAUCCGGUGGUUCCGCAUGGAAGGGCCAUCGCUCAACGGAUAAAAGCUACCCCGGGGAUAACAGGCUUAUCUCCCCCAAGAGUUCACAUCGACGGGGAGGUUUGGCACCUCGAUGUCGGCUCAUCGCAUCCUGGGGCUGUAGUCGGU
rnacentral:rRNA from 1 species